rnacentral:rRNA from 1 species
ACGCUCGACACCUACGGAGGCAGCAGUGGGGAAUAUUGCACAAUGGGGGGAACCCUGAUGCAGCGACGCCGCGUGAGUGAAGAAGUACUUCGGUAUGUAAAGCUCUAUCAGCAGGGAAGAAAAUGACGGUACCUGACUAAGAAGCCCCGGCUAACUACGUGCUAGCAGCCGCGGUAAUCUGAGCGGGCUGGCAAGGC